UACGGAAUGUGCAGACGUUAUUCGGAAUCACUGGGCUUAAAGAGUCCGUAGGCGGCUUGUUAGGUGAGGUGUGAAAUCCCUCGGCUCAACCGAGGAAUUGCGCUUCAAACCGGCAAGCUAGAGGAGGAUAGAGGUGGGCGGAACUGAUGGUGGAGCGGUGAAAUGCGUUGAUAUCAUCAGGAACACCGGAGGCGAAGGCGGUCCACUGGGUCCUUUCUGACGCUGAGGGACGAAAGCUAGGGGAGCGAACGGG
rnacentral:rRNA from 1 species